GUCUCUGCACAUUCUUUUGGCGCCUGUACCUGAGCGUAGGAGGCUGCGUUAUCCCCUUGGUAAGACGAGAAACGACAUGGAGUGAAUUAAACAAAUUCUGUGAUCAUAAUCGCUUAUACUGACUAUACCCUGUUGUAAUAUAGAGAGUAAAUGAGAGCUGUGCCUGAAUCCACUGUUGUCACGGAGCUAAAGGCGGUGAAUUCCGCUAAAAUGGUCAGGUUUUGGUAAAGAGUUGGAAGCCUUGUGCAGCUGAGAUCCAUUCCACGGAGUGAUACCAAUCUACAUGUUCCAGACGUUUUUCCAGAUCCUUGUGGAUUCCCAGUCUAGGUGGCUGGGUGGCGAGCCAACCGUGUUUGUGAUUCUGACUUUAGACGGAUUGCCAGGAUCUUCCUCAUCUUCAUGGUGGUAGGACAAACUCUAACACAAACUUAAAAGGGCCCCAACGGUGAGAAAUGAACUCUUGUCAAUAAAGGCAAGUGGAACUAAGGACGAACUGAGCUCAACGAAGUUAAAAGGAAGGUUUUUUUUUAUGUGCGCACUUUAUUAUUUUAGUUUGUUAUUUUUCAUACCUGCUUUUUUAUGUAUGUACCAUCCCUGUGUAUUUAAUACACUUAAUGCAAACUGUCA